rnacentral:lncRNA from 1 species
GCUCCGUAUCAUAACAGAUGGGGUCGACCAUUCAUUCAUAGAUUACAAAGCUGAAUUGAACCAGAAGCUGCUGUUUUUUUUCCUUCUUCCCAGUUGUCUGGUUUCUAUCAAUAGUGAAGGAGGCAGUUGAGGGGAAUCUCUUAAGGGACUUCAGUACCAAGUAACCUCCUCCAUUUUGAUAUUCUCUUCCAGUCUGCCUAAUUGAUUUGAUUCUAAGAAGAGGGGCUGUGUGUUUAUACCCAGGUCUUUUAUUGAUUUGAUUCUAAGACGGGGCUGUGUGUUUAUACCCAGGUCUUUUAUUGAUUUGAUUCUAAGGGCUGUGUGUUUAUACCCAGGUCUUCUAUUGAUUUGAUUCUAAGACGGGGCUGUGUGUUUAUACCCAGGUCUUUAAUUGAUUUGAUUCUAAGACGGGGCUGUGUGUUUAUACCCAGGUCUUUAAUUGAUUUGAUUCUAAGAAGAGGGGCUGUGUGUUUAUACCCAGGUCUUUUAUUGAUUUGAUUCUAAGGGUU